rnacentral:rRNA from 1 species
CUCUUAGAUGUUCUGGGCCGCACGCGCGCUACACUGACGAAUGCAACGAGCUUAUAACCUUGGCCGAAAGGUCUGGGUAAUCUCCAAAUUUCGUCGUGAUGGGGAUAGAUUAUUGCAAUUAUUAAUCUUCAACGAGGAAUGCCUAGUAAGCGCAAGUCAUCAGCUUGCGUUGAUUACGUCCCUGCCCUUUGUACACACCGCCCGUCGCUCCUACCGAUUGAAUGGUCCGGUGAAGCGUUCGGACCGUGGCCUUUGGACGGUUCGCCGUCUGUUGGCUGCGGGAAGUUCGUUAAACCUUAUCAUUUAGAGGAAGGAGAAGUCGUANCA